rnacentral:rRNA from 1 species
GUAGUUAGCCGGGGCUUUCUUACAGGGUACCGUCACUUCUUCGUCCCCUGCGACAGAGGUUUACAAUCCGAAAACCUUCUUCCCUCACGCGGCGUUGCUGGGUCAGGCUUGCGCCCAUUGCCCAAUAUUCCCCACUGCUGCCUCCCGUAGGAGUCUGGACCGUGUCUCAGUUCCAGUGUGGCCGAUCAGCCUCUCAGCUCGGCUACCCAUCGUCGGCUUGGUGGGCUGUUAUCUCACCAACUACCUAAUGGGACGCGAACCCCUCUAAAAGCGAUAAAUCUUUGACCUCUUCCCGAUGCCGGGUUGUGGUCUUAUGCGGUAUUAGCAGUUGUUUCCACCUGUUAUUCCCCACUCUUAGGCAGGUUGUUCACGCGUUACUCACCCGUGCGCCACUAGAAUUAUCAAUUCCAUCCGAAAACUUCCUUAAAUAAUCCCCGUUCGACUUGCAUGUGUUAGGCACGCCGCCAGCGUUCGUCCUGAGCCAUAAUCAAACUCUGA